rnacentral:rRNA from 1 species
UACGUAGGGGGCAAGCGUUGUCCGGAAUCAUUGGGCGUAAAGAGCGUGUAGGCGGCCAGGUAGGUCUGCUGUGAAAACUCGAGGCUCAACCUCGAGACGUCGGCGGAAACCAUCUGGCUAGAGUCCGGAAGAGGAGAGUGGAAUUCCCGGUGUAGCGGUGAAAUGCGCAGAUAUCGGGAGGAACACCAAUGGCGAAGGCAGCUCGCUGGGACGGUACUGACGCUGAGGCGCGAAAGCGUGGGGAGCAAACAGG